rnacentral:lncRNA from 1 species
GGGAAGGACAUUGAUAAUGCUUUCUAGCCAUGUGUGAAGUUUUGCUGCAAAGAGGUCUGUUACAUUUCCCAGAAUGGUUCCCAGUGCUGGAGAUAAUUCCUUUUCGGAGAACCUACAUUUCUCACCUGCUGAUUGCAAUUAGCCACUACCAGCUGGGGCCUGGUGUGCAGCUGAAAAGCUAACAAGAAGUGGAGACCACGCGGAACUCAGACAGGGCAUAGGAUGUGCAUAAAUAAGCAACGGUGCCUGUGUUUAUGAGAUGCUCCUGUGAAUUCGAGGCUUCCCCACCCUCUGCAUAACUCUCCCUCUUCUGGCUUUGUGCUGCACACCCCUCCCCUAACUAUAUUUUUUGUCUCUGGUUUUGUAGCCUACGUUUAACAUCACAGUCACGAAUUUACCACUAAGUACAUUUUGUUAGGCAAUAAACAGCCUUGGAAGAAAAAUGAAAUCCGACUAGGACUUCUGUUCUAAUAAUGUCUGUGAGCUGUGGUGGAUUCAGGCAGGCCCCACAUGCAGGUCUUAGAGCUAACCUUGACCAUGAGGGCUAGUGGGGCUGGGAGAGGGCUCAGGGACCCCAAUUCAACUCCCUUAUUUUAUGGGGGAGGAUACUGAAUCCCAGAACGGGAGCAUGGCCUGUCCAAAGUCUUAAAGGAAGUCACAGGACUGGAU